GACGAACGCUGGCGGCGUGCUUAACACAUGCAAGUCGAACGAUGAAGCCGGAGCUUGCUCCGGUGGAUUAGUGGCGAACGGGUGAGUAACACGUGAGCAAUCUGCCCUUGACUCUGGGAUAACUGCGGGAAACUGUAGCUAAUACCGGAUACGACACCUUGGGGCAUCCCAGGGCGUGGAAAGAACUUCGGUCAAGGAUGAGCUCGGGGCCUAUCAGCUAGUUGGUGAGGUAAUGGCGCACCAAGGCGACGACGGGUAGCCGGCCUGAGAGGGUGACCGGCCACACUGGAACUGAGACACGGUCCAGACUCCUACGGGAGGCAGCAGUGGGGAAUAUUGCACAAUGGGCGAAAGCCAGAUGCAGCAACGCCGCGUGAGGGAUGAAGGCCUUCGGGUUGUAAACCUCUUUUAGCAGGGAAGAAGCGAAAGGGACGGUACCUGCAGAAAAAGCACCGGCUAACUACGUGCCAGCAGCCGCCGUAA
rnacentral:rRNA from 1 species